UACGGAGGAGGCAAGCGUUAUCCGGAAUUAUUGGGCGUAAAGCGUCCGCAGGUGGCACUUCAAGUCUGUCGUCAAAGACUGGGGCUUAACCCUGGAAAGGCGGUGGAAACUACAUAGCUAGAGUACGUUCGGGGCAGAGGGAAUUCCUGGUGUAGCGGUGAAAUGCGUAGAGAUCAGGAAGAACACCGGUGGCGAAGGCGCUCUGCUAGGCCGUAACUGACACUGAGGGACGAAAGCGUGGGGAGCAAACAGG
rnacentral:rRNA from 1 species